rnacentral:misc_RNA from 1 species
UUGAAAUAAACCUGAUGAGUUGCUGCUGGUUCUCUAGGGAGCAUGUGCACGCCUUGUCAUCUUUAUAUCUCCACCUGUGCACUUUUUGUAGACCCUUCCAGGUCUAUGUUGCUUCAUUUACCCCAAUGUAUGUUAAUAGAAUGUUGUGCCUAUAUAAUAUAUA